AGCGAACGCUGGCGGCAGGCCUAACACAUGCAAGUCGAACGAACCUUUCGGGGUUAGUGGCGGACGGGUGAGUAACACGUGGUAACGUGCCUUUAGGUUCGGAAUAACUCAGGGAAACUUGUGCUAAUACCGAAUGUGCCCUUCGGGGGAAAGAUUUAUCGCCUUUAGAGCGGCCCGCGUCUGAUUAGCUAGUUGGUUGAGGUAAUGGCUCACCAAGGCGACGAUCAGUAGCUGGUCUGAGAGGAUGAUCAGCCACAUUGGGACUGAGACACGGCCCAAACUCCUACGGGAGGCAGCAGUGGGGAAUCUUGCGCAAUGGGCGAAAGCCUGACGCAGCCAUGCCGCGUGAAUGAUGAAGGUCUUAGGAUUGUAAAAUUCUUUCACCGGGGACGAUAAUGACGGUACCCGGAGAAGAAGCCCCGGCUAACUUCGUG
rnacentral:rRNA from 1 species